CUAUGAAAGGGUACGAUUAUAAAGAUGUUGCGCUAAUUGAAUGAAUACUUGUUACUUGUGGACCACGAAAGAAAGACGAGUAUUUGUAUAUAAUUGGAUGCUUUGUGCAAAUUUUAA
rnacentral:pre_miRNA from 1 species